UGCCUAGGGCCAGGCAUGGUGGCUCACGUGGACACAUCUAGUCACAUGGGUCUUUAAAAGCAGAAAACUCUUCCUGGCUGUGGUCGGAAGGAUGCAGUGUUGCUGACCUUGAAAAAUGCAGAGAAUGGCCAGGCGCGGCGGCUCACGCCUGGAAUCCCAGCACUUUGGAAGGCCGAGGUGGGAGAAUCGCUUGAGCCCAGGAGGUCGAGGCUGUAGUGAGCCACAAUCACGCCAUUGCAUUCCAGCCUGAAUGACAGAGAGAACCUGUCUCUAUUAAAAGAAAAGAGAAGCCAGGCACGUUGGCUCACAACUGUAAUGCCAGCAUUUUGGGAGGCUGAGAUGGGUAGAUCACCUGAGGUCAGGAGUUCGAGACCAGCCUGGCCAACAUAGUGAAACUGAGUCCCUACUAAAAAUACAAAAAUUAGCUGGGUGUGGUGGUGGGCGUCUGUAAUUCCAGCUACUCAGGAGGCUGAGGCAGGAGAAUUACUUGAACCCAGGAGGUGGAGGCUGCAGUGAGUGGAGAUCACACCACUGCACUCCAGCCUGGGUGACAGAGCGAGACCUUGUCUCAAAAAAAAAAAAAAAAGUCAUUAUGAUGUGCACACACAGAUCACGAGGGUUACUACGUAAUGACACAUGGCAGAUGUCAAAGAAUAACUCAGAGACAACUGCACAGAAACAGUUUCUGCACAUAUGAGGGAGAGCAGCUAUGACAUUUGGGAUCAUCUGGUUAGCUGGCAACUUCCCGCAUGUCCAGCCUGGGUCAUCUGCCCUCAGCACCUGUCCAGGGCAAUUAAAGAAAAUACUUUAGUUAUUUAUGGAUUUCCUGGAAAGCCCGGAUGUUUGAGCUGCAGACUGCAUGUGAGCCCCAAUCCUUCCAUCAGCCUCCAGGUCCACACCACUUCCCCAUUCAGAAGUUUCUCAAAACAAAACAAAAAACAAAACUCUCGAUCAGCAUGUCCUAUUAAAUAGAAGCUUAGAGAGAAAUGGAUAAAUCUACCAUAAAUCUACAAUUAGGGAAAGAUUUCAGCAUCCUCCUCAAUUAUUAACAGACCAGACAGACAAGAAACAAACCAAACAGUAGGU
rnacentral:lncRNA from 1 species